rnacentral:rRNA from 1 species
AUUGAACGCUGGCGGCAGGCCUAACACAUGCAAGUCGAGCGGAUGAAGGGAGCUUGCUCCUGGAUUCAGCGGCGGACGGGUGAGUAAUGCCUAGGAAUCUGCCUGGUAGUGGGGGUAAAGGUCCGAAAAUGGGGGCAAUUACGCAAACAUCCCGGAGGAAAAAGGGGGGGAAGCUUGGGACCUACGGUUAUCGCUGGAGCUAGGGCGGAUUAGCUAGUUGGGGGGGUAAAGGCCUACCAAGGCGACGAUCCGUAACUGGUCUGAGAGGAUGAUCAGUCACACUGGAACUGAGACACGGUCCAGACUCCUACGGGAGGCAGCAGUGGGGAAUAUUGGACAAUGGGCGAAAGCCUGAUCCAGCCAUGCCGCGUGUGUGAAGAAGGUCUUCGGAUUGUAAAGCACUUUAAGUUGGGAGGAAGGGCAGUAAGUUAAUACCUUGCUGUUUUGACGUUACCAACAGAAUAAGCACCGGCUAACUUCGUG